UACGUAGGGUGCGAGCGUUAAUCGGAAUUACUGGGCGUAAAGCGUGCGUAGGCGGUUCUCCAAGUCCGUUGUGAAAGCCCCGGGCUCAACCUGGGAAUGGCAGUGGAAACUAGGGGACUGGAAUCUGGCAGAGGGGGGUGGAAUGCCGCGGUGUAGCAGGUGAAAUGCGUAGAGAUGUGGAGGAACACCGAUGGCGAAGGCAGCCCCCUGGGC
rnacentral:rRNA from 1 species